UACGUAGGGGCUAGCGUUAUCCGGAUUUACUGGGCGUAAAGGGUGCGUAGGCGGUCUUUCAAGUCAGGAGUGAAAGCUCCGAGCUCAACUCGGAGACGCCACUUGAUACUGCUGUGACUAGAAUCCAGUAGGGGAGCGUGGAAUUCCUGGUGUAGCGGUGAAAUGCGCAGAUAUCAGGAGGAACACCGAUGGCGAAGGCAGGUCUCUGGGCCACUACUGACGCUGAGAAGCGAAAGCAUGGGGAGCGAACAGGAUUA
rnacentral:rRNA from 1 species